AUUGAACGCUAGCGGGAUGCCUUACACAUGCAAGUCGAACGGAGUGGCGAACGGGUGAGUAAUGUAUCGGAACGUGCCCAGUAGCGGGGGAUAACUACGCGAAAGCGUAGCUAAUAACGCAUACUAUUGGAGCGGCCGAGAUCGGAUUAGCUAGUUGGUGGGGUAAUGGCUCACCAAGGCUAUGACGCAUAACUGGUCUGAGAGGAUGAUCAGUCACACGGGAGCUGAGACACGGUCCAGACUCCUACGGGAGGCAGCAGUGGGGAAUUUUGGACAAGGGGGGAAACCCUGAUCCAGCCAUCCCGCGUGUGCGAUGAAGGCCUUCGGGUUGUAAAGCACUUUUGGCAGGAAAGCGGUACCUGCAGAAUAAGCACCGGCUAACUACGUGCCAGCAGCCGCGGUAAUUC
rnacentral:rRNA from 1 species